rnacentral:lncRNA from 1 species
AAUCACUGCAACAAAGAGGCAUGUGCUUAAUGUUUUAUGUCAAAUAUUGUUGUCCUUUUAUUCUUUUGCCUGCAGGAGGGCUCAUCAAUGUAUGGAGAAAUGAAAGAGUGCCGCAUUUCACAUUGGAGGGAUCUGGGUUUGAGUCCUUGGGCCAGCCUUGCUACAGUGGGGGAAAGAACACCAAUCACACUGGCUUAUUACGGAAUUCAAAUGUGGCAGCAAUGUUCCUGCAGACCCUGUCUUCAGCACUGGCAUUGGGCAAUUAAUUAAAUUGCCAUUAUCCUCCACAAAGUGAUGACUACUGGUUAAGAACAGCCCUUUUUCUCCACUGCUCACUUGGCAGUCCUGUUUCUGCCUGGCCACAGCCUCGAGUCUCUGCUCCAUGGCGCAAGGCAGACACACGCAGACAGGCUUUGUCGGUUUGCUGAUGUGUGUUGUUUGGAAAAUGAGAACACAAGGAAAGCUGUCCUUAGGAGGAAGAGGCAAGGAGAGGCAUCGGGAGGCCAAGAGAUCAAAGCGAGGUGUCAGAAACAAAGACAGUGAAGGAGUUCAGUCCCCUUUUAAUGCCGCCUGCCAGUUCAGACGGCCACUGCCCUUGCCUUCUAGGGAAUUCUGCUGGUUAAGAGGCUCAGACAAGCCCCAGAAUGCCCCGAUGAGGACGCAACAGGAAGACAAUCCAUAGACAGAGAAAGUGCUUUGUUUUACGGUUUCCUGGGCACUGACACCAGCAGCCUUUUCUGCCAGCGGUUUGAAAUACGAGACACUGGUGUUUUUUCCUGGCUCCCUGAAUUUAAAUUACAUCACCAAAGAAGAAACUUCCCGAAGGAAAUGAAUCUCUGCAGAUAACGAUCCCUCACAAUGGAUUCAAAUUGUAAUAAAAAUAUAACUUGAAUGUUAAAGGUGAAUUUCAAUUAAGGAUUCCAUCACAUAUUUUGCUCCAGACCACAAUAAAAAAACUUAUUUCA